rnacentral:rRNA from 1 species
AGUCGUAAAAGGUUUCCGUAAGGUGAACCUGCGGAAGGAU